rnacentral:RNase_P_RNA from 1 species
CGAAGCAGCACAAGCGGUCGCCGGACCCUUCAGGGAUCCGGAGGAAAGUCCGAACAUCGAAGGGCAGGGUGCUCCAUAACGUGGAGUCGCGGCAACGCGAAGGAAAGUGCAACAGAAAGAACACCGCCUCGCCCUAAAGCGGGGUAAGGGUGAAACGGUGCGGUAAGAGCGCACCAGUUCCCCGGGUGACCGGGGAAGCUCGGCAAACCCCACCCGGUGCAAGACCAAAUAGGGGAACACCAGAGGGUGGCCCGCCCGAGUUCCCGGGUAGGUCGCAUAAGGAUCCGGGUAACCGGUUCCUCCAGAUGAAUGACCGCUGCCCGGCCAGGGGUAACCCGGACCGGGUACAGAAUUCGGCUUACGGGCUGCUUCGACCG